rnacentral:rRNA from 1 species
AUUGAUUUUAUGCUUGCAUAAAUGAUUUUUGGAUUCGGAGCGAGUGGCGAACUGGUGAGUAACACGUGGGUAACCUGCCCCGAAGCGGGGGAUAACAUUUGGAAACAAGUGCUAAUACCGCAUAAUUAGUUGGAACCGCAUGGUUCCAACUUGAAAGAUGGCUCUGCUAUCACUUUGGGAUGGACCCGCGCCGUAUUAGUUAGUUGGUGAGAUAAAAGCCCACCAAGACGAUGAUACGUAGCCGACCUGAGAGGGUAAUCGGCCACAUUGGGACUGAGACACGGCCCAGACUCCUACGGGAGGCAGCAGUAGGGAAUCUUCCACAAUGGACGAAAGUCUGAUGGAGCAACGCCGCGUGAGUGAUGAAGGUUUUCGGGUCGUAAAACUCUGUUGUUAAAGAAGAACAAGUGUUAGAGUAACUGUUAACACUUUGACGGUAUUUAACCAGAAAGCCACGGCUAACUACGUGCCAGCAGCCGCGGUAAUACGUAGGUGGCAAGCGUUGUCCGGAUUUAUUGGGCGUAAAGCGAGCGCAGGCGGUUUUGUAAGUCUGCUGUGAAAGCCCUCAGCUCAACUGAGGAAGUGCAGUGGAAACUACAAAACUUGAGUACAGAAGAGGAAAGUGGAACUCCAUGUGUAGCGGUGAAAUGCGUAGAUAUAUGGAAGAACACCAGUGGCGAAGGCGGCUUUCUGGUCUGUUACUGACGCUGAGGCUCGAAAGCAUGGGUAGCGAACAGGAUUAGAUACCCUGGUAGUCCAUGCCGUAAACGAUGAAUACUAGGUGUUGGAGGGUUUCCGCCCUUCAGUGCCGCAGCUAACGCAUUAAGUAUUCCGCCUGGGGAGUACGACCGCAAGGUUGAAACUCAAAGGAAUUGACGGGGGCCCGCACAAGUGGUGGAGCAUGUGGUUUAAUUCGAUGCUACGCGAAGAACCUUACCAGCUCUUGACAUCUUCUGCCAACCCAAGAGAUUGGGCGUUCCCUUCGGGGACAGAAUGACAGGUGGUGCAUGGUUGUCGUCAGCUCGUGUCGUGAGAUGUUGGGUUAAGUCCCGCAACGAGCGCAACCCUUAUUAUUAGUUGCCAGCAUUUAGUUGGGCACUCUAGUGAGACUGCCGGUGAUAAA